rnacentral:tRNA from 1 species
GCCACGGUCGCUUAAUCUGGUAGAGCGCCAGCCUGGAAAGCUGGUUUCCGCAAGGAUAUCUCGGUUCAAAUCCGAGCCGUGGCG